rnacentral:rRNA from 1 species
CACGGGGGGAGCAAGCGUUGUUCGGAAUCACUGGGCGUAAAGGGCGUGUAGGCGGUCAGGUAAGUGAGACGUGAAAUGCCCCGGCUUACCCGGGGACCUGCGUCUCAUACUGCUUGGCUUGAGUACGGGAGAGGGUGUGGGAAUUCCCAGUGUAGUGGUGAAAUACGUAGAGAUUGGGAAGAACACCAGUGGCGAAGGCGGCUAUCUGGACGGUUUCUGACACUAAGACUCGAAAGCGUGGGGAGCAAACAGG